rnacentral:miRNA from 1 species
GCAGACACAUUCCAGCCAAUCAGCAGCAGACCCUCCCUCCCAGACCCUCCCACCUCCUGGACAGCAUCCAUUUUGAACCUGCAUUCUUAGUGAACUGUCCAGGAGGUGGGAGGGUCUGGGAGGGAGGGUCUGCUGCUGAUUGGCUGGAAUGUGUCUG